UUUCCCUAGAAAAUGGCUGUGGGAAGAGGCAGUGCAGUUGUGGCCAUAGUUCUGGUGCUGUGCCUUGUGCUUCCAUGUGACAUGGUUGAUGCAGCCACCUUCACUGUUGGUGGUGCCAGCGGCUGGGCCUUCAAUGCUGUUGGCUGGCCUAAGGGAAAGCGUUUCAAGGCUGGUGAUGUGCUUGGUAAGUCUUUUACUCUUAAACCUAAUCUUUUUAGGUGAAAUUUUAAUAAUUUACGAAAAAUUACAGGAUAGGAAAUUAUACCUAUGUGUUUAUUAUGCAGUGUUCAACUAUAGCCCUUCGGCUCACAAUGUGGUGGCGGUGAACAAGGCCGGGUACAAUGGGUGCACCACCCCUCGAGGUUCCAAGGUGUAUCAGACAGGGAAAGAUCAGAUCAAGCUGGUGAAGGGGGCCAACUAUUUCCUCUGCAAUUUUCCUGGGCAUUGCCAAUCUGGAAUGAAGAUAGCAGUAACUGCUACUUAAUAUAUACAUAUAUAUGAAGCAAAUAAUAUGGAGUUGCAUCUCCUUCUACAUAUAUAUUGAUUCUAUCAUCAUAAUACAAGAGGCCUUGUGCUAGUUUUUAAUAUUUGUACGUGCGGUUCAACCUUAGCUAGCUAGCUCAAGUGAGAAGUGACUUUUCAGUAUCUUUAAUAUCAUAAAUAAAGUUGCAGUUGGUUGACAAUAUAUGGGUUGUUGCAUUAACUUUUUGUUUUGAGGAUGCCCUCUCUUUUUCUUUUGCUUUUUCCCUUUUUCCUUUUUAAUGUCAAAAAUUUUGAAAGAGAGAAAAUGAAAAAUAAAAAAUAAAAAAUCAUUGAGAGUGAAGUUAUAUUCUUGAGAUAUAAAAUGGGCUUGAAAGAUUACCAAAAAGGAAAAAAAUUAAGUAGUUAACUCAAUGAUCAGACUUUCACAUGGUUGAAGGGGUGCUUAGUUGAUCCCAUGUUUCAAAUAAAGAUGAUUUUCUUUCCCCACCUUUUAGGGGUAGCUGCUCCUGGGCCUUAGUUGACUCAGUCAUAGGGACAAAAGAAAAUUAAGUGUAAUUGUGAAUUGUGUGACCUUAUAAGUGGGUAGGUAAUACAUCAAAUCAAAGAGAAAUGAUUCCAUAGGGAAAGUAGUUUUUCCUAUGGUAAAUCUCUGCAUGUAAACUUCUCAAUCUGUCAAACAAAAAACAUGAAAUUUAUAAUAUAUUUUAAAAAUUGUUUUGGUAUUAAAUCAACAAUUUAAAAAAGAAUAUAUUAAAAUAGGCCAAAACAAUCCAUUUUGAAAUAUUUAUUUAUGAUAUAGUAAUAAAAAUUCUUUUAAUUUUUGGAUUAUGUGUUGUUAUUGACUACCAUUAUGGCUUUUAUACAAGUUAAAAAGAAUCAAAAGAAUUGGUGAAUUUAUAUAACAAUAUUCAUUUUGUGGUCCAAAUUUUAUUUCAACAACCCAUGAUUAUAAUCAUGACUUGAGAAAGUAUAAAUGCAUCUGCCAAAACUCUUUUUUUGUAUUCACUCUUUUAGUGAAAAUUUUAAGAUACAAAUAUCUUUUACUGAAAUCCCCAAAGUACUGUUCAACACAAAAAUACAGAUAUUUUUCCUCUUCUUCCUUCAUUCUUCUUUGGUCGGUAAUUUCUUUAACCCUAAUAAAAUUUAGUGAAAAAAGUUGUGUUUCUCACAAAUAGAAAAACAAAUAAUUAUAUACAAUAAUGUUACAAGUGAAAAUAUAUGGUUUUUAUACAUUUAUUUUUUUCAUUUCUUCUCACAUUUUUGGGGUUGGAGGAAAAGGUCUUUAUUGUUAUCAUUUUUCAUGUAUGUCCUCACUCGAUGACAAAACUUGUUUUUUAUUUAUAAAAAAUUGAUUUUUAAAUAUACAACAAAACAAUGGUAAUGAGGAGCAAAAAAUAAAAGAACAUUCAUAGUAGAGCAUGCAUAUCAAAGGAAUCAAACAAGGAAGGAAGGAAGAGAAUGUACCUCAAUAAUGCCUAAAACAGGGCAAGGCUC
rnacentral:lncRNA from 1 species